UACGGGGGGGGUAAGCGUUGUUCGGAAUUACUGGGCAUAAAGGGCUCGUAGGCGGCCAACUAAGUCAUACGUGAAAUCCCUCAGCUUAACUGGGGAACUGCGUGUGAUACUGGAUGGCUUGGAUUUGGGAGAGGGAUGCGGAAUUCCAGGUGUAGCGGUGAAAUGCGUAGAUAUCCGGAGGAACACCGGUGGCGAAGGCGGCUUCCUGGACCGAUUACUGACGCUGAGGCGCGAAAGCUAGGGGAGCAAACGGG
rnacentral:rRNA from 1 species